rnacentral:rRNA from 1 species
UCGACGGUAAGGCCCUUCGGGGUACACGAGUGGCGAACGGGUGAGUAACACGUGGGUGAUCUGCCCUGCACUUCGGGAUAAGCCCGGGAAACUGGGUCUAAUACCGGAUAGUACUGCGCGGUGCAUGCCGUGUGGUGGAAAGAUUUAUCGGUGCAGGAUGGGCCCGCGGCCUAUCAGCUUGUUGGUGGGGUAAUGGCCUACCAAGGCGACGACGGGUAGCCGGCCUGAGAGGGCGACCGGCCACACUGGGACUGAGACACGGCCCAGACUCCUACGGGAGGCAGCAGUGGGGAAUAUUGCACAAUGGGCGCAAGCCUGAUGCAGCGACGCCGCGUGAGGGAUGACGGCCUUCGGGUUGUAAACCUCUUUCAGCAGGGACGAAGCGCAAGUGACGGUACCUGCAGAAGAAGCACCGGCCAACUACGUGCCAGCAGCCGCGGUAAUACGUAGGGUGCAAGCGUUGUCCGGAAUUACUGGGCGUAAAGAGCUCGUAGGCGGUUUGUCGCGUCGUCUGUGAAAACCAGCAGCUCAACUGUUGGCUUGCAGGCGAUACGGGCAGACUUGAGUAUUUCAGGGGAGACUGGAAUUCCUGGUGUAGCGGUGAAAUGCGCAGAUAUCAGGA